UAGAUGUCCAUAACCGCAAUGUUCGUUAGCAUUGCUGCGGCAGCGAUAUGAAAUAACAUUGUUGCAAACUGCAACACGGUAAAACUAGUGAUUCCACCAAGAGUAUAGCUCAGUAGGUUCCAUUACCUCGACGAGGACGUACAAAAGGCCUUUGCUCCUGUCUCCAAGUAACAUAUAAUUCUGGUAAUAGAGACAAUCUAUCAAUUCUUGUAAAAUAUUUUUCGUUAAAUGAUUGUCUAGAUAGGAAAGAUCUUAUUUUAGAAUUUGUAUUAUUCAGUCGUGGAUGUUUAUGCAUUUCUGAAAAAUUUAGAGAUGCACAAAAUGCACAGGAUAUUCAUAUAAUAUGUAAAUACGUACGUAUAAGAUAAAAAUAAUUAAUAAUUUAUUUAGGUUCUAGUCAGGUUCGUAAAAGCACGAAUUUGCAUAAAAUAUGUAAUCUAUUAAUCAUCUAAUAUAUUAAUAAAUCGAAAGUAAUAAUCACAGCUUAAAUCUAAGUACUGCAAUUUCAAAUUUCCUGUCGCCAUCAUCUCUCCAUUCAUCGGAAAGCUUUCUUUUCUAUGAGGAUGACACGUUUCAUAUCCCAGUGUCGUUCUCAUCUUCUGUACAUGUAAAACAAUGGAUAUCGUCCAUUAAAAAAAAGAAAGAAAAUGGAUAUCAUCGAUAGCUGCAAAACUAAACAAUUUUUUAUAAAUUUGUAGCUAUUACUUGUAUAGAUUCUGAAUCUGGAAGUGAAAUUCCUUCUUCCUUCGUUUUGAUCGAGGAUUCCUGAAGAUCUACAAAUAUAUUUUAUUCCAUUCAAUUACAAUAAGUAACAAAAGUAGAACUUUGAUUAAAAUUAUUAGAAAGGUUGUUAAAGAAAUAGAAUGACUUUAUUCCUACGUGAGAGAUGAUCAUUUAUUUCUAACUGUUUUUAAAUAUUAAUAUUAAACAUGGAAAUAAACAAUUCUGAAUAAAAAUGCAACAA